ACUACUCUUAAGUUCAAUUAAUUUGAAAAGAGUUAUAGUAAAACUCGAAUCUAUUUAUAUUCAUCUAAAUUUAACAACUUAAUAAUUUUGAUGAGUUGACCUAAAAUAAAUUUUUUUAAUAAACGAUCCAUUUUGAUUAAAAUGGGCUUGAAAGUCCAAAACGUAGUUCAAACAAACACACAACAAAAGCAGAUAGUAAAUGAAGUUCAUACAGAUAAAUAAAGAAAAUAAAACACGAUGCAACUCUAGAAGCUUCUUCCAAACCCUUAAGUGACCAGAAAACCCAAAAUGGCCAAAACCUUCCGAGAUCUGGUAAUCGGAACCAGCAAACAAUGGAAGGGAGUUGAGAUAUACCUUUAGAGUAUCAAAAUUUCUCAACCUAGAAUCGCGAGCAAUAGACGAGGGAAACUAUGGUGGUUGGAUGAAACGACAGUCCAAAUCUGCUAUUUCCAACGCUUUUAAUAGAGCAUCUUCAACCUAGAAUGAGUCUUCUAAUCUUCUCAUCCCUUCGACCACCAUCACAUGCGCCGCGUUGUGUUACCUUCUCUUGCAACGAACUCAAAACAACAUGAAGAAAAAUUCCUUGCUAGAGCCUUUACAUCCCAAGUAAUCAGUCUUAUCUCCGAAUAGUCUUCCUCUGUUGCUUGGAGGUUUUUAAUAAUUGUUCUAGAGUCACUUUCUAGAAUAAUUUUCGUGAAACCCAUCUCCAACGCAAACUAGAGUUCGUGAAUAACAACCAUCACUUCAACCAACGCCACUGAUCUAACUAGGUUAUGAGUUCUGAUUCCCGACCCCAUUAUAAGUCUUCGUCAUUUCUAAUUAAGAAACUUUAUGCUACAUGUUGUUUUGUCUCAGAGAAACCUAUGUCAACAUUCACUUUGACCCAAUUCGUAGGAGGGGGCUUCCAUUUUAUCAAAGCUUUGGGUCUGGGGUUUUGUAACGUUCCAGCUAGCCCAUAAAGGUAAUUACUUCCUCCACACUUCGUACUUUUCUUUCAUGUAACGGUUUUUUGCAGGAAAACCAGAUUGCCCAAAUUGUAAUGGUUGUUUCCUCUUUACUGUUACUGGCUGAAUUAACGAAUAACCAGUUUAACCGCUCGUUGAAACUCAUAACCGCAAUUGAACGUGGCCACUAAUAAUUUAAUUUUGACAAAAAUCAACUACCGGCGAGAAUUACAAAAUGAAAUUAAAAUGAAAUUUUAUUUCAAUUCAAGUGAUAAAAAUGAUAUGCAUAAAAAUAAUUUUAUUUGUCCCUAUUAAUUAGAAAAUUAAGCUUGUAAGAAUCACUAUUAGUCUAAUACUAAUAAAAUGGUUGUUUUUAUGAAAAUUUUUGCAUUUAGGAUUCGGAUUUAUUUAAUUACUAUAUUUAAAUAAUUUUUUAAUACUUUUACAUUUAAUCAUGUUAUGUAUUAAUUUAUACAAAUUCUUUUAAAAGUUUUAAUUUUUCGAAUUUGUUCGACGAUCAAAAUAUUUUGGCUCCACCCAUAUGGAUAUUUUUGUGUAGGAAAUUGAGGUUUUUUUUUUUAAUAAACUAUAACAAAAUCAAACUUGUAGAUAUUAAAGAUAAUUUGUUUUACUGAAAGAAACAUUUAGAAAAUAAUUUUUAAAAAAUGAGUUCGGAUAUCUGAAUUAUUCUGCAUAACUUAAUUUCCGUUGUUCAAUAAUUUUUUUGAAAUUAUUUUUAAAAGUUAUUAUUAGUAAAAUAAACGCACCAUAAAUUAUAUUUGUUAUAAAAUAUUGUAAAAUAAUUCUAUUGUGACAAUCAAAAUUUUUUAUAAUUAAUAUAUUAUAUAAAAUUAAUAAUAAAAAUAAUAAUUAAAACACGAAGUUACAUAUAUUAAAUAGAUGAGAGUGGAUAAUUACAUAUUCGACUUAAAGAGAUACAUUAAGUUAAUCAUAAUUUAAACAAGUAUUCAUAUUUAUGUUAUUAAAAUAUUAAUAUCUUUUGUUAGAAAAUAUUUAUUAUUUAUAAUUGAAGUAUAUAUUUAUUAUUGAAAUAAUUUUUUAAUAUUAAAUACUUUAUUAAAAUAAUAAAUAAUAUUAAUAUUUUAUUAUAUUAUUGAAUAAUAAUAAUUAAAUGAAUAUAAUUGUUUAAUAUUAAAAAUUAUAAUAUUUGAUAUCAAUAUUUUAAUAUUUUAAAAAUAAAAAAUGUUAUCAAUAUAAUAAUAUUAGAUUUUAUUCAAAUUAAUUUUAUAUGAACCAAAAGAAAAGUUGAUCUUUCUUUAUCAAACUAUUUCUCAUAAAAAAAUUAAAAAUAUUUUUCAUAAGUUAUUUUUUAAAAACAAUCACACCUUAAAAUGCUCGAUAUGUGCAAAUUUGGGAUGAUAAUAGUCCAUAAUCUUAGCAUUUUUCAGGUUGACUUUUCACUCGUAUGAAUUUGUUCUGUCAAAGGAAUAAUAACAUUAUUUUAAUUAUAUUAAUACCACCGUCUUGAAAUAAGUAUUUAUAAUUUUUUAAAAUUUAAAAUUUAGUAUUUGUAUUUGUAUUUUUAUUUUUAAAAAUUUAUUUUUUAUUUUUAAAAUUUUAAAACUCAAUUUCAAUUAUUAAUCAUAUUAAAAUUAUUUUAUUAAAAUUGUGUUCAUUAUAGUAUCAUUUUUUAUUUAUUAAGUUACUAAAUAAAUAUUUUUAUUUAAAAUAUCAUACUAAUAAAUUUACUAAAAUAUUUUAAUAAUAUUAAUAAUUAUAAAACUUAAAAAAUAUAAAAUAUAAAAAUAAAAAUAUAAAAACUGAAUUUCAAAUUUCACAUCUCCGUUCCUCAUUAAUAUAUAUCUACACGAAUAUUAAAAAGCAAAUUAGAGAAGUGAAUUAACGGAAUAUUAGACAUUUUUUUUACCAAAUUUAUAAAAUCAAACUUCUUAAUUUUAUAUUGUAUUUUACUAUAUUUUAAAAAAUUGAGAGCCAUAUAUAAUUCUUUUUUAAAAGGAAUAUAAAAUAUUUAAAAAUGUUGCAAAAAAAAAAAACACCAAAUUAAGAGGAGCAGGCCCACCAACCUCUUGUCUUCAUCUCAACUACCUUUCUCUAUAAUUUCCUUUUGGUACAAUUAUGUAAAAUAAUGGUUGAAUUAAAAAUAAUAAUAUUUCCUUUACAAGUAGAAACUGACAAUAUGAAACUUAAUCAUCAUAACGGAUUGAACGUAUAAUGUCGUGAACAAGUAGAAAAUGACAAUAGUAAACUUGAUUUUUCAUAAUAAAAAAUAAUGGAAGUUGCACAAUAUAAUGUUGUACAGAUGGAAACAAGUUGUACUAAUGAAGUUAAGUUGUCGGCGCUUUGACAGAACUCAAUGGGAAACAAUUCAAGAAAGAAAAGAUUCCUUUUACCAUAAGGGGGGCAUCAAUUACGUGUUGUGAUAAUGCCUUCCCCCCCUCCCCCCCUCUUCGUUUUUAAUUAUUAUCUCCAUUAGUGCAUCCUCUUUCCACCACAUCAAGACACCUUCUCUCAACUUGGAAGGUUAAAAUUCCCAUUAAUUAAUUCUGCUCACUCCGCAUCCGCAUAAUUUUUGGUUAAUUAUAACCACACCUCAAAUAAAAUAAAAUAGUAAUUAUUGUUUUUUCAUAUUAUUUGGUGGAAAUAGAAUAAAGAAGCAAUAAAUAUUUUAUAAUUUGGUUGGUUGAAUGGAAAAAUCACUUAAUAGUAUUAUAUUGUUUGGUUGAUGUAAGAGGGAUUUUGGAUUUGAUUUAAUGUGCACCAUAAUUCUUGAACCAUGUUGAGAUGUUGAAUGUUCGACAUAAUUGCUAGCUCAAAUUGAAUAAAGACUUUCAACUUAGCAUAAAAGAGAAUGGGUUUUGAUGCCUAUUCUUGGGCCUAUAGAGUCUCUUUGGCCAUGAGAGCCUAUUGUUAGGUCAAUGACCACUAGUUGGGUAUGGAAGUUCACUUCUUGAGCGUAAAAGCCACCCUUAAGGAAAGGUUCUAAAAGGAACGGGUGUAGGUGAACAAUGCCACAAUUAAAAGCAUACACCUCUUCUUUUGCCCACUGAGAGAAAGGCAUGUGACCAACAACUUGCACCAAUUAACAAGUUCCUUAGCCACAAGCAACAAAACAUAUAAGAAGGUCUCCCUCCUUUAACAUAACAACACAUCCUUCAACAACACAUUUCACUCUUAAGAGCAUAUCUCUCUAGAAAUCUCUCUCUCCCUCUACGAUUCUAAGCCAUUAUCAACAAAAGCCAUUAUUUAAGGCUAAAACAUCGUCUGAAGGCAUCCUACCUUGUCACAUUUGCAACAUAAGCAUAUCAUUCUCACAUACGUAGCUUAUUCACUUGUUUUUAUUUUAUUUUAUUAUCUUUAUCCAAUAGUUGGCUUAACUAUUGAAAUGCAUCUUGGAGGAUAACCUUACGUGCCCUUUCAUAUUGUCUCCUUCAUGAAGGUGCUUAAGGGACAUUUUCCAUAAGACGACUAUGAAGGAAAACCAUCCUCUUCAUCCUUGAUGUUGCCACUCGUCUAGGACUUCCUCCACAAGUGUUGGUCACUCAUUCACAACAUCUUUGACAUCGUCACUCAUCCAAGGUCCUCUUCACUAAAGAUCACACGUUGACAAUGUUAAUCGUCUUAGACUUUCACCGCAAGCAAAUGCGAUCGUUCGACCAAGAUCAUAUUGCAAGAAGAAAGUUAUCAUUAUAGCAGACGUGAUUCAUUCUUCACCUCUGUUGAAGGCAUUCACAUGUCUUCAUCAUCUUUUGCCUCACCACAGACUCACAUCACCUAUGAACCCACAUCAUUGUAGACUACAGAACUUUCUCAGUCUCGAUAGUUAGCUCUCGGUCUUCCGGUCGAAAAGUAACGUCGAUGAAGAUGUAACACCCCGAACCCGAAACCGUCAUCGGGGUCAAACACGAGGUGUUGACUGGCUUUAACCUCUUACAAAAUUUAUUUUCCAGACACUACCCAAUCUGUGUACUAGUCGUUUUAAAAUUCAUAUCUUGAGUUUCGUAACUCGAAAAUCAGUUUCGUAAUUUUUCCCAGAAACUAGACUCAUGUGCCCAUCUAUGUAUUUUUUUCUAGAAUUUUUGGUUGGGCCAAUUAGUACAGUUU
rnacentral:lncRNA from 1 species